AGAGUUUGAUCAUGGCUCAGAACGAACGCUGGCGGCAUGCCUAACACAUGCAAGUCGAACGCUUUUGGGGCUUCGGCCCCAAGGGAGUGGCGCACGGGUGAGUAGCGCGUGGGAACCUGCCCUGUUGUGGGGGAUAACCGAGGGAAACUUCGGCUAAUACCGCAUAAGCCGGUUGUCUUGAGAGAGAUGGCCGGGAAAGAUUUAUCGCGACAGGAGGGGCCCGCGUCGGAUUAGCUAGUUGGUGGGGUAACGGCCCACCAAGGCUGUGAUCCGUAGCUGGUCUGAGAGGAUGAUCAGCCACACUGGGACUGAGACACGGCCCAGACUCCUACGGGAGGCAGCAGUGGGGAAUAUUGGACAAUGGGCGCAAGCCUGAUCCAGCAAUGCCGCGUGAGUGAUGAAGGCCUUAGGGUUGUAAAGCUCUUUCGCCCGCGACGAUGAUGACGGUAGCGGGAGAAGAAGCCCCGGCUAACUUCGUGCCAGCAGCCGCGGUAAUACGAAGGGGGCGAGCGUUGUUCGGAUUUACUGGGCGUAAAGGGCGCGUAGGCGGCCCUCCUUGUCGCGUGUGAAAGCCCCGGGCUCAACCUGGGAAUUGCGCGCGAAACGGGGGGGCUUGAGUUCGGGAGAGGAGCGUGGAAUUCCCAGUGUAGAGGUGAAAUUCGUAGAUAUUGGGAAGAACACCGGUGGCGAAGGCGGCGCUCUGGACCGAGACUGACGCUGAGGCGCGAAAGCGUGGGGAGCAAACAGGAUUAGAUACCCCGGUAGUCC
rnacentral:rRNA from 1 species